AAGACUAUAGACCUGCGGAGUACCUGCGGAAGGAUCAUUACAUGAAGUCGGGAGAACGGAAGAUAGUCCCCCUGUAGCAAAAAUUACGGGGGGUAGUACUCCUGCCCCGUAAUAAUCGGGCCACCCUGUCUCUUGAGCACCGUUUGUUUCCUCGGCGGGCUUGCCCGCCAAUGGGGACCCCCCAAAACCUUUGUAAUGAGCAGUAACUGUCAUUAUCAGAAUAUAUCACAACUUUUAGCA
rnacentral:misc_RNA from 1 species